UUCCUGGUGGUCCAGUGGCUAAGACUCUGCACUGCCAAUGCUAGGGGACCCAGGUUCAAGUCCCAGUCAGGGAA
rnacentral:tRNA from 1 species